rnacentral:rRNA from 1 species
UGAGUAACACGUAUAGCAACCUACCUUUAACAGGGGAAUAACCCGUUGAAAAACGGACUAAUACUCCAUAACACAGGGGUCCCGCAUGGGAAUAUUUGUUAAAGAUUUAUCGGUUGAAGAUGGGCAUGCGUUCCAUUAGCUGUUGGUGAGGUAACGGCUCACCAAGGCUACGAUGGAUAGGGGAACUGAGAGGUUUAUCCCCCACACUGGAACUGAGACACGGUCCAGACUCCUACGGGAGGCAGCAGUGAGGAAUAUUGGUCAAUGGAGGCAACUCUGAACCAGCCAAGUCGCGUGAAGGAUGAAGGUCUUAUGGAUUGUAAACUUCUUUUUCAAGGGAAUAAAGUGGGGGACGUGUCCUCCUUUGCAUGUACCUUGCGAAUAAGGAUCGGCUAACUCCGUGCCAGCCGCCGC